UACGAAGGGGGCUAGCGUUGCUCGGAAUCACUGGGCGUAAAGCGCACGUAGGCGGGUCUUUAAGUCAGGGGUGAAAUCCCGGAGCUCAACUCCGGAACUGCCUUUGAUACUGGAGAUCUUGAGUCCGGGAGAGGUGAGUGGAACUCCGAGUGUAGAGGUGAAAUUCGUAGAUAUUCGGAAGAACACCGGUGGCGAAGGCGGCGACCUGGGUCGAGACUGACGCUGAGGCGCGAAAGCGUGGGGAGCAAACAGG
rnacentral:rRNA from 1 species